CUACGGGUCGCACCAGGCGCGAGACCUCCGCAAUGCGCGAAAGCGUGACGGGGGGAUUCUGAGUGCUCAAGGUUUCCUUGGGCUUUUUGUAAGAGUAAAAAUCUUACAGAAUAAGUGGUGGGCAAGACUGGUGCCAGCCGCCGCGGUAACCCCAGCGCCACAAGUGGGAACCACUAUUAUUGGGUCUAAAGCAUCCGUAGCCGGUCUAGCAAAUUUCCUGUGAAAUCAUCUUGCUUAACAGGAUGGCGUGCAGGAAAGACUACUUGACUUGGGACCAGGAGAGGUCAACAGUAUUCCUAGGGGAGCGGUAAAAUGCUAUAAUCCUAGGAGGACUACCGAUGGCGAAGGCAGUUGACCAGAAUGGAUCCGACGGUGAGGGAUGAAAGCUAGGGGAGCAAAACGGAUUAGAUACCCCAGUAGUC
rnacentral:rRNA from 1 species